ensembl:lncRNA
AGUUUGUGUUGUUUGAUGUUUAACAUGUUUUUACCUGUCCCCAAAUUGUUACAGUUGGUUAAUAUUUGGCUUUGGUGUUUGGCCUGCAUGUCACUAUCACGUCUGGGGAGGACAGAAAUAAUCCACUUGGCAUGACGGAGAACUUGGAAGCAUGCACAAGAUUUCCCCAUUCAGUCACCGCCCGCCUUUUUCCUGCCCAACAAAACAUAUUUACUGGAAGUUUGUCUAUGAGCCGAAGCUGAGUCAGUGUGGGAUAGCGUACAAUAUGAAGCGGCUGCUUGGCCUGAUGAAACAAAACUUUAAGGACAACCAGUCAAAGAAACCUCAUCUGUCCUCCCUCUAUAGCAGAAUCACUCAACUUCAAGCCAAUCUGUUUCAUAGUUCCGACGGUGGGAAGUAGAUUAGAAAACCAAUCGGCAACUUUUUCACAGUGAGGCAACAAUGGAAAAACCUACACGCAUAACCACAUUUGUUGAGUGUAACUCAGUAACGUGUGUGUGUCUGUCUAUGUGUGUGUGCCAUCGACGAUCAGACGGGAAUACAGGCAUGUCUUCUUUCUGUGAGACGUGCACGUGUAUGAUUGUGCGUGUAUGUUUGGCUGUGCGAGCCAAAACAGUAAUCGACCCAGCCAAGUCUCUCAUUCUCUGCUUCAGAUGUCCUGCCAGAUGUACACAGGCAACAGGAGCAACAUAGAAGAACGAGCAUUUACAGAGUAGACAGGUCCAACUGACCGCUGACCGCCUAUCUGACCUUUGCCCUCCAGGAUACGCACAUGCAACACGCAAUUGCUGAAACCCUGACGGUGAAACAUAAGGAAAUUGAAAAUAGUUCCCUGAGAUGGCCUGUUAACCAACAGCGUGCAUGCCUCACGCGGAUGACACAACAAGGCUUUCUGGAAACAAAUGCUGGUCAUGGAAGCUGCACACCAUGUAGUGCCCUUGAAGGAGGCGUCAUUUUGGAGUCAGCCCCAGUCACCCAUCCUGGUGGUCUGAACUGAAUCACAAAGGCACCUGACUCACCUCUGUAGACACAGCUGGCGCUCUCCAAAGCUCAUUACGAGCCAUGCCGAUUUGGUGUAAGGCCCCCCCCCCCCCCCCC